GGUCUUUGAUUCAUUGUACCGGCUGAGAACCCUGGCUGCCCUAAGUUUCUCUCUUGCUGUCAAUGGAGAUCUCUUCAACGUUGGUUUUGGACUGGAGGAAGAUGCUUCCUCUUCCAAGUUUGCAGAAGUUCCAGACCCAUUUGAAGCUUCGGCUUCUUGCACGGCCGAAUCAGUUUGACCAAUGGGUUGCACUUCCCCCUCUGUUUUAGAAGAUUCAAAGGAUGACGUAUUCACAGUUGGUGUAAUAGCUUCGGAGUAUGACCUUUCAGCAUUUUCAGAGUCCUUAUCACUAACUUCCGUUUCAAGACGAUCACUUUUAGCAACUAAAAGAUAGAAAUUAUGUCUAGUAACUGGUACACAUCUUCUUAACCCCCGCAUCUGAAAGGUAGAUGGGAAGUGUGCAACCUUCUGCAGAGAGGCACUCCCAGAUAGAUUCCAGUAGUUUGCGGUUGACGGAAAGCCCAGAACAGAAUUCAAAGAAGUCGCCAUAGAGGAACGGUGUGUGGUUGCUCAAAAGAGUUAAGGCCCAACCAUGAAAUCUUGCUUUUGCAGAGAGUGAGAUGAUGGAGAGAAGAGAAAAUUUC
rnacentral:misc_RNA from 1 species